rnacentral:rRNA from 1 species
CAGUAGCCGCGGUAAUACGGAGGGGGCUGGCGUUGUUCGGAAUCACUGGGCGUAAAGCGCACGUAGGCGGCUUUGCAAGUCAGAGGUGAAAGCCCGGGGCUCAACCCCGGAUGUGCCUUUGAGACUGUGAGGCUUGAACGUCGGAGAGAUGAGUGGAAUUCCGAGUGUAGAGGUGAAAUUCGUAGAUAUUCGGAAGAACACCAGUGGCGAAGGCGGCUCACUGGACGACUGUUGACGCUGAGGUGCGAAAGCGUGGGGAGCAAACAGGAUUAGAUACCCGCGUAGUCCCUGUCUCUUAUAC